rnacentral:rRNA from 1 species
GUGGGGAAUAUUGGACAAUGGGGGAAACCCUGAUCCAGCGACGCCGCGUGUGUGAAGAAGGCCUGCGGGUUGUAAAGCACUUUUAGUGGGGACAAAAAGUCAUAGGUGAAUACCCUGUGAUCUUGAUUUAACUCACAGAAAAAGCACCGGCUAACUCUGUGCCAGCAGCCGCGGUAAUACAGAGGGUGCGAGCGUUAAUCGGAAUUACUGGGCGUAAAGCGCGCGUAGACGGUUUUGUAAGUCAGAUGUGAAAUCCCCGGGCUCAACCUGGGAACUGCAUUUGAUACUGCAUGGCUAGAGUAUCGAAGAGGGAAGUGGAAUUUCCGGUGUAGCGGUGAAAUGCGUAGAUAUCGGAAGGAACACCAGUGGCGAAAGCGACUUCCUGGUCGAAUACUGACGUUCAUGUGCGAAAGCGUGGGGAGCAAACAGGAUUAGAUACCCUUGUAGUCC